rfam:Dipodomys ordii contig_40932, whole genome shotgun sequence.
GGCGCUGUGGCUCAAGUGGUAGAGCACUAGCCUUGCAUGCUCGAGGCCCUGGGUUCGAUUCCUCAGCACCA